AUACGGAGGAUGCAAGCGUUAUCCGGAUUUAUUGGGUUUAAAGGGUGCGUAGGCGGAUGAUUAAGCGUGAGGUGAAAUGCCACUGCUCAACAGUGGAACUGCCUCGCGAACUGGUUGUCUUGAAUGCUCCUGCCGUGGGAGGAAUGUGUGGUGUAGCGGUGAAAUGCAUAGAGAUCACACAGAACACCGAUUGCGAAGGCAUCUCACGAAGGGGUGAUUGACCCUGAGGCACGAAAGCGUGGGGAUCAAACAGGAUUAGAUCCCCUGGUAGUCCACGCAGUAAACGAUGAUAACUAACCGCUGGGUCGUAGUGAUUCAGUGGCCAAGCGAAAGCGAUAAGUUAUCCACCUGGGGAGUACGCCCGCAAGGUUGAAACUCAAAUGAAUUGACGGGG
rnacentral:rRNA from 1 species